GCGGCCCCCGCCACGGGGCUCUGCAGCGGCUGGUGGAGCAGGGCGCCCGGCUGCGCCGGGGGCACCCGCAGCGCCUGCUGCGAGCCCAGGACGCCCGGCUGCGGGGAGGCCAAGAGGAGCUGCUGGCCCUGCCCCAGCUCAGCCUGGUGCUUCGGCGCCGGCGGGAGGCCCAACUGGGCCGGGGGCUCGGGGCCACCCAGUCCCGGGGCGGUGAGGGCUCCCUGCUGCUCUUGGGGGCCCCCGUGCAGCUGUCCCCCGCUCUCGGUGCCCUCGGCGGGCAGGGCGCUGCCGUCCGCCCCUCCCGGCUGGUCCUUGGCAGCCAGGACCGCCGGGGCCGGCUGCAUUCCCUGACUCAGGUGCAGCACGGAGGGGGCCUGGCCCAGAGCCCCGUGCUGCGGAAAGUGCUGGAUCUGGGGCUGCCCCUGGCCCAGCCCCAGGAGGCCCGGCUGGGCGGCCGCGUGCUGCGCUACGGCGUUGGGCUGCUGCGGGGUCAGCAGCGCCCGCGACUGCCCCAGCUGCUGGGACAGCACGAGCCGGUGCCCCAUCAUCCCCGGAGUCUGCGGCACCAGCUGGGGCGAGCCCAGCACCCGCUGCUGGUGGGGGGCCAGGAGCACCUGCCGCUGGGGCGCCGGGUGGCCCAGCACGCCCUGGUGCUGCAGCACCGGUGCCUGCGCAUGGCCCAGCAAGCCCGGCUGCGGCUGCUGCUGCUGCUGGGGCGAGAGUUGCUGCACCAGGAUGCCCUGCUGGCUGCCCAUCAGCCCUGGCUGCUUCGGCACCAUGGGCUGCCCCACGGCGCCCUGCUGCGGGGCGGCCGCCGCUGGCUGCUGCUGCUGCUGCCCCAGCAAGCCAGCUUGGCCCACGAGGCCGGCCUGCUGCAUCGGCGCUUGUCCCAUGACGCCUGGCUGCUGCAUUGAGGCUUGCGCCAUGAUGCCUUGUUGCGGCAUCGAUGUCUGUCCCAUGACGCCGGGCUGCUGCAUCGAUGUCUGUGCCAUGACGCCCUGCGGCUGCAUCGAUGCCUGCGCCAUGAUGCCCUGCGGCUGCUGCAUCGACGUCUGCGCCAUGAUGCCCUGCGGCUGCAUCGAGGCCUGUGCCAUGACACCCGAUUGCUGCAUUGACGUCUGUCCCACGACGCCUGGUUGCUGCAUCGAUGUCUGUCCCAUGACACCCGGCUGCUGCAUCGAGGUCUGUCCCAUGACGCCUGGUUGCUGCAUUGACGACUGUCCCAUGACACCCUGCGGCUGCAUCGACGCCUGUCCCAUGACACCUGGUUGCUGCAUCGACGCCUGUCCCAUGACACCCUGCGGCUGCAUUGACGACUGUCCCAUGACGCCUGGUUGCUGCAUCGAUGUCUGUCCCAUGACACCCUGUGGCUGCAUCGACGCCUGUCCCAUGACGCCUGAUUGCUGCAUUGACGCCUGUCCCAUGACGCCUGGCUGCUGCAACGAUGCCUGUCCCAUAACGCCCGGCUGCUGCAAUGACGCCUGUCCCAUGACACCUGGCCCUGCUGCUGCGGCAGGGCCACCUGCACGCCGUGGGGGGCCGCCAGGACGUGGGGCUGCGCCGGGGCCAUGCCCAUGUGCCCGGGCAGCGCCGGGCCCUGCUGCGGCACCCCGAGUCGCGGCUGCUGCGGCUGCAUCAGCUGCUGCCGGGCCAUCAGCCCCAGCUGGAGGGGCGGCUGGGGGGUGCCCAGGCGGGGCGCCUGUCCCUCGGGGGGCUGCCCGGGUGCCGUGGCGUGCAUCAUUGGGUGUCCUGGGGCCGGGAGGUGCGGCGGGGCGCCCCGGGGCAGGUGGGCCGACAUCUGCUGCUUCUUCUGCAGCUCCUUCUUCUCGUGCUCCAGCAGGUCCUCGAUGAGCAGAGGCAGCUCGCUGGCCACCAGCGAGCUCUCCAUCUUGUCCAGGUCAUCGGCCGGCGAGUGCCGGGUGCUGCCCAAGCCCAGGGCGCCUCCGUCCAGCUCAAACUUCUCCAGCAAGGGGCUGCUCUGGCUGCCCAGCUGGGCUGGGGCCAGCCCGCGGCCGGGGCCAGCGUAGGGGUCCUUGUCCAGCACGGGGACGCCGGCAUGGCCGCUGCUCGGGAAGUGAGUCAAGCCAAGGCGAGUUGGGCCAGCCCCAGGGCUCAGGAGGGUCUGGCCCGAUUUCAGGGUCAGUCCAAGGGAAACRGAGAUUUUAUCUGUGCCCUGCAGGGCCUCCGACUUGAUGGGGACUGGGAGCCGCUCGGGGCCGCCGGCGGUGAACUGGCAGGGAGACGUCUUCAGGCAACCGUCCUCCAGCUUGGGCUUGACGUCGGCAGGCAGCGCGCCCGCCUUCGCCUCCAGGCCCUGUGUCUUGAAGGCUGGGUCAGGGGCCAGCGCGGCGCCCGGCGGGCCGGGAGCAGGCGCCAAGCCCACCCCUGGCACCAGCCCUUCCUUGGCCGCUUCCCGGUCCUCCGCGGCUGGAGCCGUGUCCUUGCUGUCCCCGGGGUCAGGGAGCUUCAAGCUGGGUGCCGGUGGCUCCGUCUUGAGCUGGGCCUCGCGCUCAGCCUUCUCGUUGGCCGACUCGACCAGGCGGAGGUGCUCGUUGAAGAUGUCCUUCUUGUCGCCGGUGUCCAGUUCGGGGUCGGUGUAGGCCAGCAGGUCGAACUCGUCACCGUUCAGCAGGUCAUCGAGGUGGGGGUCCGCCGUCUCCAGGCUGUCCAGGUUGUCCAGGUCAUCGUCCCCUUUAGCCACAUCCGGAUCCAGGCUCAGAUUGGCCAAAUCAUCGUCAUCUUCCAGGUCCUUGUGGGAGCCGAAGUCAUCGUCCAAAUCGGGCUCUACCGGGACCUCGCAGGGAAGCCGCCCCCCUUCCAGGCUCAGGUGGCUCUUGCCUGGGGCCGGAGC
ensembl:lncRNA